rnacentral:rRNA from 1 species
UUGGCGAUAUACUGUCAGCGGCCAAGCGAAAGUAUUAAGUGAUGCACCUGGGGAGUACGCCGGCAACGGUGAAACUCAAAGGAAUUGACGGGGGCCCGCACAAGCGGUGGAGCAUGUGGUUUAAUUCGAUGAUACGCGAGGAACCUUACCAGGGCUUAAAUGUAGUAUGACCGGCUUAGAAAUAGGCCUUCUCUUCGGAGCAGAUUACAAGGUGCUGCAUGGUUGUCGUCAGCUCGUGCCGUGAGGUGUUAGGUUAAGUCCUGCAACGAGCGCAACCCCUAUUCUUAGUUGCCAGCGGUUCGGCCGGGGACUCUAAGAAGACUGCCAGCGCAAGCUGAGAGGAAGGUGGGGAUGACGUCAAAUCAUCACGGCCCUUACGUCCUGGGCUACACACGUGCUACAAUGGUAGAGACAGAGGGCAGCCACCUGGUGACAGGGAGCGAAUCCUUAAACUCUAUCUCAGUUCGGAUCGAAGUCUGCAACUCGACUUCGUGAAGCUGGAAUCGCUAGUAAUCGCGCAUCAGCCAUGGCGCGGUGAAUACGUUCCCGGGCCUUGUACACACCGCCCGUCAAGCCAUGGAAGCUGGGGGCACCUGAAGUCGGUAACCGUAAGGAGCCUCCUAGGGUGAAACUGGUAACUAGGGCU